rnacentral:rRNA from 1 species
CGAAGGGGGCUGGCGUUGCUCGGAAUUACUGGGCGUAAAGGGAGCGUAGGCGGGUUAUCAAGUUGGAGGUGAAAGCCCAGGGCUCAACCUUGGAAUUGCCUUCAAAAACUGAUAGCCUAGAGUAUGAUAGAGGUAUGUGGAACUCCGAGUGUAGAGGUGAAAUUCGUAGAUAUUCGGAAGAACACCAGUGGCGAAGGCGACAUACUGGGUCAUGACUGACGCUGAGGCUCGAAAGCGUGGGGAGCAAACAGGAUUAGAUACCCUGGUAGUCCACGCUGUAAACGAUGAUUGCUAGUUGUCGGACGGCAUGCCGUUCGGUGACGCAGCUAACGCAUUAAGCAAUCCGCCUGGGGAGUACGGUCGCAAGAUUA